rnacentral:rRNA from 1 species
CGUACGAUACGAGUUUCGAUCAUGGCUCAGAUUGAACGCUGGCGGCAUGCCUUACACAUGCAAGUCGAACGGUAACGCGGGGCAACCUGGCGACGAGUGGCGAACGGGUGAGUAAUAUAUCGGAACGUGCCCAGUAGUGGGGGAUAGCCCGGCGAAAGCCGGAUUAAUACCGCAUGAGACCUGAGGGUGAAAGCGGGGGAUCGCAAGACCUCGCGCUAUUGGAGCGGCCGAUAUCAGAUUAGGUAGUUGGUGGGGUAAAGGCCUACCAAGCCGACGAUCUGUAGCUGGUCUGAGAGGACGACCAGCCACACUGGGACUGAGACACGGCCCAGACUCCUACGGGAGGCAGCAGUGGGGAAUUUUGGACAAUGGGCGCAAGCCUGAUCCAGCCAUGCCGCGUGCGGGAAGAAGGCCUUCGGGUUGUAAACCGCUUUUGUCAGGGAAGAAAUCUUCUGGGCUAAUACCUCGGGAGGAUGACGGUACCUGAAGAAUAAGCACCGGCUAACUACGUG